AUUCCAUGAUAUGGGCACUUCUUUAGCAUCAUCCUAAAAUGCUCUCAUGCCUCGUAUAGGGUUUCACCUUCAUAUUGGUUGAAUUUUGUGAUUUUCUAUCAGAGCU
rfam:Gossypium arboreum cultivar AKA8401 contig_13919_9, whole genome shotgun sequence.